UGCAAGUCUAAAGGGAACUUGUUCCCUUGGCGGACGGGUGAGUAACACGUAGAUUACCUACCCUAGACUCGUGAAUAACCCUUAGAAAUUUGGAAUAAUACACGAUAUGGCACUUGUGCUGAAAGAUUUAUCGGUCUAGGACGGGUCUGCGGCCCAUUAGCUUGUUGGUGAGGUAACGGCUCACCAAGGCAACGAUGGGUAGCUGGUCUGAGAGGAUGAUCAGCCACACUGGGACUGAGACACGGCCCAGACUCCUACGGGAGGCAGCAGUGGGGAAUAUUGGACAAUGGGCGAAAGCCUGAUCCAGCUACGCCGCGUGUAUGAUGAAGGCCCUAGGGUUGUAAAGUACUGUUGUAGGGGAAGAAACAAAUGACGGUACCCUAUGUAGAAAGCGCCGGCUAACUCCGUGCCAGCAGCCGCGGUAAUACGGAGGGCGCAAGCGUUGCUCGGAAUCACUGGGCGUAAAGGUGCCGCAGGCGGGUUCAUUAAGUCAGAUGUGAAAGCCCGGGGCUCAACCCCGGAACUGCAUCUGAAAACUGGGCGAAACUUUGAGUA
rnacentral:rRNA from 1 species